rnacentral:rRNA from 1 species
AACGAACGCUGGCGGCAGGCUUAACACAUGCAAGUCGAACGCCCCGCAAGGGGGAGUGGCAGACGGGUGAGUAACGCGUGGGAAUCUACCGUACCCUACGGAAUAGCUCCGGGAAACUGGAAUUAAUACCGUAUACGCCCUACGGGGAAAGAUUUAUCGCCAAAGGAGCGGCCCGCGUCAGAUUAGGUAGUUGGUGGGGUAAAGGCCUACCAAGCCUACGAUCUGUAGCUGGUCUGAGAGGAUGAUCAGCCACACUGGGACUGAGACACGGCCCAGACUCCUACGGGAGGCAGCAGUGGGGAAUCUUGGACGAAUGGGCGCAAGCCUGAUCCAGCCAUGCCGCGUGGAUGAUGAAGGCCUUAGGGUUGUAAAAUCCUUUCAACGGGGACGAUAAUGACGGUACCCGUAGAAGAAGCCCCGGCUAACUUCGUG